rnacentral:rRNA from 1 species
AACGUAGGUGGCGAGCGUUAUCCGGAAUUACUGGGCGUAAAGCGUGCGUAGGCGGCUUUGCAAGACAGAUGUGAAAUCCCCGGGCUUAACCUGGGAACUGCAUUUGUGACUGCAUGGCUGGAGUGCGGCAGAGGGGGAUGGAAUUCCGCGUGUAGCAGUGAAAUGCGUAGAUAUGCGGAGGAACACCGAUGGCGAAGGCAAUCCCCUGGGCCUGCACUGACGCUCAUGCACGAAAGCGUGGGGAGCAAACAGG